rnacentral:lncRNA from 1 species
GAGGGCCUUACUCAGCAUGACAUAGAAGAUCACUGGCUGAUCCUUGCCUUCCCUCCAGCUCUCUGCUCCCCAGCCGUCAGCUUGGAAGAUGAAGGACUCAUGACCCAGCUGUGCCAAGUCCGACCUCUCCGUGCCACCGUGUCGCAGAGCUGGAAGCAGCCGUGUAGCCUGAUGGACCUUUGUCUGUGUCUCUGAAGGGCAGGAUCUUCCCGGCGUGGCGGUCCCCACGGGGAGGCCACAGGACCCUAAGCCCAGGGGCUGCUUGUCUAUGCUGGCCGAGCACCCGGAACCCUGGUGGGAAGCAGACCCACCACCCUGGCUGAUUCCUCUUCUCUUUGGAGUCUUUCUUUGGCUUCAAUUUCCACCGGCAAAAGACACAGAAGUUACCGUCUUCCUUCCAAGUGGCGCUUUCAAAUUCAUCUUGUAUUUUCUACCUGCAGAAAAAGAAACAUUUGCUUCCAAACAUAUCAUUAGAAUCUUUUUGGAACUCUGGAUGCAUGAGAAAGUCACUGGGGACCAUGUCACAGAUCCUGGCUGGGACGGUGGCUGCCUGCUGGAGGCCCUGCCCUGGACAGUGGCCUACAGUUUACGGACCGAAGGAAUCUACGGGUUGGAUCAGGCGUGUCCAGAUGAGGCUGAGAUUCUGAAUUCCCUUCUUAGGGUGGUGUGCGUGCUUGUGCUGAGUCAUGUCCGACUCUGUGCAACCCCGUGGACUUGUAGCCUGCCAGGCUCCUCCGUCCAUGAGUGGGUGGCCAUGCCUUCCAUCCAGGUGAUCCUCCUGACCCAGGGAUCCAACCCAUGACCCCUGCUUUGGCAGGCGAGCUCUUUACCAAUGAGCCACCUGGGAAGCCCACCUUAGGGCUGCUUCUCCCCUGAGAGGCGGUGGGCAGCCUUCUGUGGGAGGAAAAAUGUCUGGACAUCAGGAGCAGGAGUCUUAGUGAGUUUGGCUGGUAACCUGGGCAGAACACUGAACUCUCCUGGGGGCAGGAAGGGGGUGUUGGUUGUUCUGGAUCGUCACCUUGGUCCAGUGGACCCAGUGCCUCGGGCGGCAAAUCUCUGGGUCACUAGUGGAACAUUAAAACAGUGAAAAUCCAAACCACAUAAACCCUCAGUU